AUAUUUAUUUAGACUUUGAUUGCAAGUGACACAAUUUCAAAGUCAUGUGGGUGUAAAAAAGUUAUCACUUAUCUUUAAAGGUAGAAUAAACCGAAUUAAAAUUAAUUGAAUGCUGAGGAUGUAUUUCUUCUCCUUGAUACAGUGAUGUUUGAUCAGCUUUCAAAUAAAGCUAAAUUUCAACACCAUUUUUUUUUCCAGGGGUAGAAAUGUAGCAAUUU